GUGCCAGCAGCCGCGGUAAUACGUAGGUGGCAAGCGUUGUCCGGAUUUAUUGGGUUUAAAGGGUGCGUAGGCGGUUCCUUAAGUCAGUUGUGAAAUACGGCAGCUUAACUGUCGAGGUGCAAUUGAUACUGGGGAACUAGAGUACUGAUGAGGUAUGCGGAAUGGACGGUGUAGCGGUGAAAUGCUUAGAUAUCGUCCAGAACACCGAUAGCGAAGGCAGCAUACUAAGGAGUAACUGACGCUGAGGCACGAAAGUGUGGGGAUCAAACAGGAUUAGAAACCCGUGUAGUCC
rnacentral:rRNA from 1 species